UACGUAGGGUGCGAGCGUUGUCCGGAUUUAUUGGGCGUAAAGGGCUCGUAGGCGGCCAACUAAGUCCGACGUGAAAUCCCCAGGCUUAACCUGGGAACUGCGUCGGAUACUGGUUGGCUUGAAUCCGGGAGAGGGAUGCGGAAUUCCAGGUGUAGCGGUGAAAUGCGCAGAUAUCGGGAAGAACACCCGUGGCGAAGGCGGCUCUCUGGGCCAUUACUGACGCUGAGGAGCGAAAGCGUGGGGAGCGAACAGG
rnacentral:rRNA from 1 species